GUGUGUGUGUGUGUGUGUGUGUGUGUGUGUGUGUGUGUGUGUGAGGUCAAAUAGGUGAAAGGGUCCACGUGGAGGAGAUUUAUGAUGGUCUGUGGUUUAAGUGUGCAGCCAAUGCAAUGUGUGUGUGUGUAGAUUGCUGUUGGUAAAAUGAAGCAGGAGGUGAGUUUUUUCAUUUUUUAUAUUCCACACACACACACACACACGCACACACACACACUCACAGUACCCAUUCCCUGCAUACCUAGUGUUCUGUCUGAGGCUGGCUUCCAGGAAAUGAGGCACUUUAAUUGAGUUGAGUUUUUACGGCUUGACUGGUGAGAGCGAAUUAGUGGGUUUAUGAACGAGAGAGA